rnacentral:lncRNA from 1 species
AGAGAGACAGAGAGCAUGCUCUGGGUAAGACAGAGACACAGAGAGACAGAGAGCCUGCUCUGGGUAAGACAGAGACAGAGAGCCUGCUCUGGGUAAGACAGAGACAGAGACACAGAGAGCAUGUUCUUGGUAAGACAGAGAUAGACAGAAAGAGGCAGAAAACAAUGUCUGCACACCGACUGGACACUAAAAUACCUUCAUACUGGGAGACAAUGAGUGGACACUACAGUACACUGAAACUGGGAGACAGUGACUGGACAAUAUAGUACACUGGUCCCGAGAAGACAGAGGGUUGAUACACUCUUCACUCCUUUUCCAUCCACCUCCAGGAGUCCAGAUGGGCUCACAUCCAGAACACCGCAGCCAAGAAGACCCUGCUGCUGGGGACAAUAAAGAUGGCCACCCUGAACCUGUACCAGAUCGUGUGCAAGAGGGCCCGGGACACUGGGGAGGAGCCCAUCGCCCUGGAGGACACCCCCCGACAGCUGCAGAAGAUCCAGACCUAUCUGACGGAUCUGAUGUCCGUCUGGGAGGAACUAAGCAAACCUGACAGCCAGGCUGGGACCACAACGCACGGCUCACAUAGAUAGGCUCUGGCUGCCCCUCGUGCGCCACAAACACACACCCGACAGUCUGCGCUGCCACCUGCUGUUGGGUCCAUCACAUUACAGCAGGGAAAUAUCCUCCCCCAACAUGGCAAAUAAAGAUUUACUGUUUGGAUACCAAGG